AUUGAACGCUGGCGGCAGGCCUAACACAUGCAAGUCGAACGGUAACAGGAAGCAGCUUGCUGCUUCGCUGACGAGUGGCGGACGGGUGAGUAAUGUCUGGGAAGCUGCCUGAUGGAGGGGGAUAACUACUGGAAACGGUAGCUAAUACCGCAUAAUGUCGCAAGACCAAAGAGGGGGACCUUCGGGCCUCUUGCCAUCGGAUGUGCCCAGAUGGGAUUAGCUUGUUGGUGGGGUAACGGCUCACCAAGGCGACGAUCCCUAGCUGGUCUGAGAGGAUGACCAGCCAAACUGGGAAUUGGAAACGGGCCCAACCCCUCAGGGGGGGAAGAGGGGGGGAUAUUGCAAAAGGGGGGGAAAGCUGAAGGAAACAAGGCCGGGGGAAUGAAAAGGGCUUUCGGGUUUAAAAGUCUUUCAGGGGGGGGGGAGGGAGGAAAAGUAAAAACUUUUGCCAUUGAAGGUUCCCCCCAAAAGAAGCACCGGCAAACCCCGU
rnacentral:rRNA from 1 species